GAUGAAGAACGCAGCGAAAUGCGAUAAGUAAUGUGAAUUGCAGAAUUCAGUGAAUCAUCGAAUCUUUGAACGCACAUUGCGCCCGCCAGUAUUCUGGCGGGCAUGCCUGUUCGAGCGUCAUUUCAACCAUCAAGCCCCCGGCUUGUGUUGGGGACCUGCGGCUGCCGCAGGCCCUGAAAACCAGUGGCGGGCUCGCUAGUCACUCCGAGCGUAGUAAUACAUCUCGCUCAGGGCGUGCUGCGGGUUCCGGCCGUUAAAAAGCCUUAUUUACCCAAGGUUGACCUCGGAUCAGGUAGGAAGACCCGCUGAACUUAAGCAUAUCAAAAGCGGAGGA
rnacentral:misc_RNA from 1 species